AGCUUGUCUUCCAACCUGCAGAAGAAGGAUAUGCUGGUGCCUCCUAUAUGUUAGAAGAAGGUGCAUUAGAUGGGUUUAAAGCAAUAUUUGGCUUGCAUGUCUGGCCAUUUAUGCCCGUAGGCACUAUUGGUUCAAAACCUGGUCCUAUUAUGGCUGGAUCAAGCAGGUUUACUGCAGUAGUGCAAGGGAAAGGCGCACUAUUGGUUCGAAACCUGGUCCUAUUAUGGCUGGAUCAAGCAGGUUUACUGCAGUAGUGCAAGGGAAAGGCGGCCAUGCAGCAACACCACAUAAAACUAGGGAUCCAAUGUUGGCUGCUUCUAUGGCAGUUCUUGCCCUCCAACAACUUAUUUCU
rnacentral:lncRNA from 1 species